ACAACCAAGUCUGAAGUUGGUGUUGGUGGCCUGGCAUCUACCACAAGGCUUUUGAAAUACUACACUAAUAAGUACAAUACAUUUAUUUUUAAAAAUCUAUUUAUUUAUCAAAACAGUAUUGGCACAGUAAUUCUCAUAUUAUCAUCAAAUAAUAAAAUUGCUACUUUCUGUACUCAAUUCUUUAGAAUCCUAGAAAUUGCAAAUGCAUUCAAUUUAACAAUAUUGUAAAUAACAAUACAAAAGAAAGAACUCUGCAUAUUUAUGGAAACAUUGUUGAUGGUACAGUUCUACUGAAACUCAUACACAUUUCACUAUUUAAUUUACAUAUGGUCUUGUUGAAAAAAACCAGUAUGUUUUACUUUUUCAAUUUCCUUAUGCUAAAAUACAUGUAAUUCUAAAGGAUAUCUCUUAGGUGUUAUAAAAACCAAGGAAGGUCCACCACCAAGUCAAAGUUAGAGUCAAAGAUACUUCAAAGAUUCCAUGAAAUGAUCUGAAAACAAAUUUAACCAAAAAAUGUGUACUGUAUUGGGGCACAUCCAUGGCCACCCAAACUGUAUUCUAUCUCUGACUGUGGCAUCAAAGAAAGGUAUAUGGAAUUAUAAUUGACCUUCAUGAUAUUGCUCCAAAGUGGAUUGACUAACACUUUCCCCUCUUGACCCAACAUCCCAAGUCUUCCUUAAUAAUGCAAACAUCAGUCAUUUACAUAUUGUUUUGAGUCUUUCUAAAACUUAUCUGUAUUUUUAUACUGUCUCAUAUAUAGGAUCACAAAUUAAGUUUACUAUCUGUAUGUAGAGUGAUCUUUUCUUUCUUUAUUCCAAACUACCUUAUUCAAAUAAUUAAGAGAAGCAUUUAGCAGGGCAUUUCAGAGAGCAAGAAGCGCCCUUAAAAGAAGGAGGUGGGGGGUUUCCUUAAAAUAUGAAGAAAUGCUAAAGCUGGGUUAUAAAAUAUGGUGCUGCAUCUAAAUAUUUACAUUCAAUUAUCAUUUAACCGAAAAUACACAAUACAAUCUAAUUCUGCAAAUUUCAAAAGAUUUAUUAAAAAUGCAAUAGUGUAUGAAUUAUAUUCCUUUCUUGUGUCUCUGUGAGGGCAGAUUCGACUUCAUUUGGAAUGAUCUCAAAAAUCUACCCUUGAGGUUCUUCAUGAAUGUAAGGCUUAACCCAAAAGGCCUUCCUGGCCUUCUUGAUAAACCCUGACACCUAGUUUCUAAUAAUCUGAGAUUUGGUGGCAAAGUCUCUGGUUUCCUGAUCCUUGCCUUUCAUAGUUUGUAUAUUUUAUGCAUUGGCUAAUUUUCCUUGGACGUAAAACUGGUUGGGCAAACUAUAGAAUACUAAGCAAGGUUAAAAAAAUUAAAGAAGCAAAAUAGUGGCAUAGCGUGAAGCAAUGGAGAAAGUCACUUGAGGCUAAAUAAUUACAGCUGUAUCUAUAUAUCUAUGUCUGUAUCUCCACAUAUAUCCAUUAUUCAGGAAGUUUACUUUUAAAUAGGAUACUGAACUGGCCUUCCCCCACCACUCCAUCAUCAUGCAUCUUUUGGCUGGAUACGAUAGCUGAGAGCAGGCAGCUGCACUGCCUGAUUUCUUGAGACUUCUUGUUGGUUAGACAAAAUAUCCACAGCUCUUGACUUGAGCUUCACUGGUGUUACCCUGUUUGACUUCAUGCAGGCAGUCAUGUCUGAUGUACCUUUUCUUUUCUUUUCUUUUUCUUUUUCUUUUUUUUUUUUUUUUUUUUUUUGAGACAGAGUCUCGCUCAGUCACCCAGGCUGGAAUGCAGUGGUGCAAUCUCGGCUCACUGCAAGCUCCACCUCCCGGGUUUAUGCCAUUUUCCUGCUGCAGCCUGCCGAGUAGCUGGGACUACAGGCACCUGCCACCAUGCCCGGCUAAUUUUUUGUAUUUUUAGCGGAGACGGGGUCUCACCGUGUUAGCCAGGAUGGUCUCCAUCUCCUGACCUCGUGAUCCGCCCUUCUCAGCCUCCCAAAGUGCUGGGAUUACAGGCGUGAGCCACCGCGCCCAGCCUACUUUUUCUAUUGACCAUUUAAGUAUUAACCAUUAGCCAAGUCCUCAGAGUCGGAAGAUUCUUCUCCAGCCAUUUUAUAUUUUUGGUUAUCGUUUCCAGAACAGUUUGAAAAAUAUCCAGAUGUGAUCCUUGAGCCUCAAGAGAUUCAAAAAAUAGUUUCACCUGUAAAAUAUUGAAGAAAAAAAUUACUAACAC
rnacentral:lncRNA from 1 species